rnacentral:rRNA from 1 species
AACGAAGGCUGGCGGCAGGCUUAACACAUGCAAGUCGAACGCAUCCUUCGGGGUGAGUGGCAGACGGGUGAGUAACGCGUGGGAACGUGCCCUUCAGUUCGGGAUCACCCAGGGAAACUUGGUCUAAUACCGGAUACGUGCGAGAGCAGAAAGAUUUAUCGCUGAAGGAUCGGCCCGCGUCUGAUUAGCUAGUUGGUGGGGGAAUGGCCCACCAAGGCGACGAGCAGUAGCUGGUCUGAGAGGAUGAUCAGCCACAUUGGGACUGAGACACGGCCCAAACUCCUACGGGAGGCAGCAGUGGGGAAUAUUGGACAAUGGGCGCAAGCCUGAUCCAGCCAUGCCGCGUGAGUGAUGAAGGCCUUAGGGUUGUAAAGCUCUUUCGUCCGGGACGAUAAUGACGGUACCGGAAGAAGAAGCCCCGGCUAACUUCGUGCCAGCCGCCGCAGUAA